rnacentral:rRNA from 1 species
ACGUAGGCGGAUUAUAAGUUAGAGGUGAAAUCCCAGGGCUCAACCCUGGAACUGCCUUUAAAACUGUUAGUCUUGAGAUCGAGAGAGGUGAGUGGAAUUCCAAGUGUAGAGGUGAAAUUCGUAGAUAUUUGGAGGAACACCAGUGGCGAAGGCGGCUCACUGGCUCGAUACUGAC